CACCGACACACUGAUAGGAAAUUAUCUUUGUUCUGGGAGGCUCUGUGUAAAUGUUUUCCUCCCUUGCAGUCUCCUCUCCAACAGCCCCAUCCAUGAUGCUAAUGGCUCUGCUAAUGGCCAAAAUUUGGGGCUGGUCCCGCUUGCUGGUGACCUGCCAAGCCCUUCAAGAACCUCAGCUGAGCAGUGCUUAGGGAGGGGGAGAAGACUGCUCCGUCCAGCAGCAGACACAGAGAAAGAUGAUGGCCAACUCUCAGGAAACCAGAUCUCCCCUAAUCCCCAAAUUGUGUCUCCUGGGGAUCGUUAACCAAACAUCUUGUCCACAGCUUAAUUGCAGCCAAUUAUGCCAGCAGGGAAAAGUGCACCUUCAUUGUCUGGACACAAAGCAAAGCUGAGCAGGAGAGCUGGAUCAAUCUACUCAGAGAAAAUGUAACAAAUGGGGCUUUGUCAGAUUCAGGCGUCCUCACAGGGAUGACCUUCUGAUCUCCACCUCUGCCUCUCUUCGUAGCUGAGUGCAAAAAGCUCUGCGAAGAGCUCAUCCUUACCCCUGCAACCAGCUGUCCCACCAAGGCUGCUUCCUGGGACCAGCUCCAGCCUGAACAUCUCAGCCCAUUCCAGCUGGGCCAAACCAGCUCUGCCUUCCCAAAGCUGCUCUCAGCUCCUCUCCCAUCUGCUGCUCUCUGGCACAGAGGCAGCAGCAAGGCAGAGCCUUGGGUACCUGCCACCAACCCCGUUUUGCAUUCAAAGCCAUCUCACAUGUUGUCUUGAGCGCCCACUCAGCCCAGAGCAGCUGCAAUUCCAAAAAAACCCCACAGAAGUGGCAGAAGAUGAUACUCAAGGCAGUGUUAAGCACAAGUGAUCGGGCUGUGCACCAGCAAAAGCUCCCAGCUGCACAGUCCUCAGCUUCUCUGCUACAAUCUUAAGAGAGAAACUGCUAACCCUGCACUGACUUCGAGCUCAUUUGAAUCAAGUGUUAAUAAAGCCUCCUUCUGAUGUUUUUUCUCCUUCUCCCUUUUGCAGUCUAUUUCUUCUCCCUCAGUUUUCUCUUCUUUCUCCCCCUGCCCUUUUCCCCUAAGAAAUGAGCUAAGGAUGAGAAGUAUCUGUUUUCUGUUUGCUCUGUG
ensembl:lncRNA